CUAACCUACGGGGGGCAGCAGUGGGGGAUAUUGCACAAUGGGGGGAACCCUGAUGCAGCGACGCCGCGUGGGUGAAGAAGCGCUUCGGCGUGUAAAGCCCUGUCAGCAGGGAAGAAAAUGACGGUACCUGAAGAAGAAGCCCCGGCUAACUACGUGCCAGCAGCCGCGGUAAUACGUAGGGGGCAAGCGUAAUCCGGAUUUACUGGGUGUAAAGGGGACGCAAGCGGCGAAGCAAGCCAG
rnacentral:rRNA from 1 species